rnacentral:rRNA from 1 species
UACGGGGGGGGCAAGCGUUGUUCGGAAUUACUGGGCGUAAAGGGCGCGUAGGCGGUUCGCUAAGUUGGAUGUGAAAACUCUGGGCUCAACCCAGAGCCUGCAUCCAAAACUGGCGGGCUAGAGUUCUGGAGGGGGUAGCGGAAUUCCUGGUGUAGCGGUGAAAUGCGCAGAUAUCAGGAAGAACACCCGUGGCGAAAGCGGCUCUCUGGAACGGUACUGACGCUGAGACGCGAAAGCGUGGGGAGCGAACAGG